rnacentral:rRNA from 1 species
AACGAACGCUGGCGGCGCGCCUAAUACAUGCAAGUCGAGCGAGAAGACGUAGCAAUACGUUUGUAAAGCGGCGAACGGGUGAGGAGUACAUGGGUAACCUACCCUCGAGUGGGGAAUAACUAGCCGAAAGGUUAGCUAAUACCGCGUACGCUCCUUGGACUUCGGUUCAGGGAGGAAAGCGAUACCGUGGGUAUCGCGCUCUUGGAUGGGCUCAUGUCCUAUCAGCUUGUUGGUGAGGUAACGGCUCACCAAGGCUUCGACGGGUAGCUGGUCUGAGAGGACAAUCAGCCACACUGGCACUGCGACACGGGCCAGACUCCUACGGGAGGCAGCAGUAAGGAAUAUUGCGCAAUGGGCGAAAGCCUGACGCAGCGACGCCGCGGUGGGGGAU